UACGGGGGGGGCAAGCGUUGUUCGGAAUUACUGGGCGUAAAGGGUUCGUAGGUGGCCAACUAAGUCAGACGUGAAAUCCCUCAGCUUAACUGGGGAACUGCGUCUGAUACUGGUUGGCUUGAGUGCAGGAGAGGAAUGCGGAAUUCCAGGUGUAGCGGUGAAAUGCGUAGAUAUCAGGAGGAACACCUGUGGCGAAAGCGGCUCACUGGACCAUAACUGACGCUGAUGCACGAAAGCUAGGGGAGCAAACAGG
rnacentral:rRNA from 1 species